CUGCCCGCCCCCACCCACCCUCGAGCGGCGCGUCUCCCACCGUCGCUCGGUUUCCCACCGGCACAGCCCGGCUUUGCCUCCGCCACUCCGCUUCCCGCCGCGGCGCCGUCCGACGCCGCCGACUCCGUCUGCUCCCUUGCCUCCGCUCGUUCCCAUCUUACGCCGCCGACUCCGUCUGCUCCCUUGCCUCCGCUCGUUCCCAUCUUACGCCGCCGUAGCUACUGUGAGCAGGGAUACAGAAGAGAGGGAGAGAUCAUCCUUUCCUUCCAGAAGAAGACGCGGUUGGCUGAUUGAUUAAUUCCGUCCUUCCUUCCUUAUUAGGAGCACCCGCAGUCGUGGUCCACCCAUAGGAGGGAAGGACGCGCCGCCUCCACGGCCUGCUUCGUGGCCGCCCUCCGCCGCCGUUGCGCACGUUGAGCCGGAGGUCGGAGAUCUGCCUCGUUGAGCCAGAGCCGGAGGUCCGAGGCUUUCAGUGACACUUUCAAUAUAUCCUGCUGUAGACCACAACGGCCACACAGAUGAUUGAUGAUGAGGCCAACUUCGACAAUAUGCUUGAUGCUGCAGAAGAAGUUCAGGCUACUGCAAAGUUCCGUCCCAAGCAACGUCCCAAACCCCAAAAAACAGCUCUGUCUUCCAGAUCUGCAGCGCCUAAUCCUACUGAAGAAACUGGGGAUGGGAAAGUAGGAGCCUUAAAUCAAGUCAAUUCUUCUAAAGAGCUCACCAGCCAAGAAAGGACAUCCUUGAUGUGCCCUGGUAGCGAGUCAGUUGAUACUGUUGCUGGUUCUCAAGGUACUCUCGGCACACCGUCGGGAGAUGCGUUGACAGUUCCCUUGGGUCCUCUGGCUGGUGCUUCUGCUGCAGAUAAGAUUUCUCAAGAUGGUGAGCACAAUGAUGAUCCGUCUAAGUUAGCUAUACACCAAGAAAGCUCAGUGGUAUCAGAUAUCAAUGUGUCACCUAACAGUUCAUGUGGCAAGGCUAUUGAUGAUAUAGUUGAAUUUGGAGACAUGUGUGAUGCACAAGUUGAAGAGGAAAGAGUUCCAAAGUUCCAGCCAAAGGUACAGACGAAGCUCCUUAAGGAAACAGCCAAAUCUCGGAAGACUAACCAAAAGCUGGAAGCUUCCACUGUAGAUGUGGUUACACAAAAUGGAAAGGGCAAUAAUAUUGAAACAAGAUUCCGUGACGAUCAGUUACAGGAUCCUAAAAGUCAUGAAAGUGUGCAGAUCCCAGAUUCUGAAGGACUAUUGGCAACUGAUAAUUGUAAAAGUUGCAAUUUAGCUAACCUCGUCCUUGAGGAGUCAGUUCAAGAGGAAACAAUAGCUAAGUUUCAUCCUAAAUUGCAACCGGAGCCUGGGAAGGCUUCAUCCAAGGUUGCUGUGACUAAAAAUAAUGUUGCUGCUGUUGCUCCAAUGGAAGAAACCAUCACCGGUCCAGCCGCUUGGUCACCACAGGCUGUGCAUGCUACUGUUGAUGUAGACUAUCACAACGAACUAAUUAGUCCUCCUACCGAUGGUACUCAAUCAAUGGUGGGCAAAGUCCCAGGAAGAGAAAAGGGAAAAUCAAAAUCUGUAUCUUUUUCUCUAUCGGAUGCUUCUGGGGUAGCUACUCCUACAGAUACCAAUUCUGAGAUGGGUAACAUCGGCAAAUCCUGUAGUGACAAAUUGACUGAUGAAAAUUUAAGUAACUCAUCUCAGCAGAUGACUGAAAAGCAUUCUGUUACCGAGGAUCAAUAUUCAAAUGAUCAGGACCACGAGGGGGAGCCACUAGAUCAUACUGUUGAACAGCAACCAAAUUCGGAUGUUGGAGAAAUAGCAUCAUCUAUGAAACUACGUUGCAGGAAAAAGUUGCAAAAAGUUGGGACACCUAAUCACACUGUUGAUGACUGUUUUGAUGAAGACUGUGUUGAACCUUCAUUAGCUGAAGAAGAUAAUGAUAGUGGUGAUGAUUACACUACUGGUAAUAAGCGUAAGGCUAGGAAAAAGUCAAGGGAUGGUGUAGAAGAGUCACAACAGCAGAAAGUUCAAAAAAAUAAAAGCAAGGUGUCUUCACGGGGCCGCAAAAGAACCUUGAAGGAUGAAUUGGCAGCGAAGCCUGAGAAGAAGAAGCUGACCCACAGAAUUCGUCAGAGGACACCAAAAGAGAUUAAGACUUUACUGGAAAGUGAGGAGAUAGAUCCCAUGAAGCUAAGUGCAGCACAUCUCAGGUUGUUACAAGAAGCUAGAGAACGUGUUAAUCCAAAAGAGAUUCCAUCUGGGCCAUCCUCUAAUUCAAGAAGCUUUGGACUUGAAGAUAUGGAUGAUUUGGACUACAGAGAUGAGGAAGCUAGGUUCUUUGACAAUGAUGGAACAGAGAACCAUGUACAAAAUACAACAAAAUUGAACUACCAAUCCUACAUGAACAAACCAGCCCGAGGAAAAUGGUCAAAAUCAGAUACUGACUUGUUUUACGAGGGUAUUCGACAAUUUGGUAGCGAUUUUGCAAUGAUACAACAAUUAUUUCCUGAUAAGACUCGCCAUCAGGUGCGGCAAAAAUUUAAAUCUGAGGAGAAAAAAAAUCCAUUGCUAGUCCAUGAUGCUAUAUUUCAUCGCUCAGGAGAUAAUUUGUAUUUCAAAAAGGUAAUUAAGCAGCUCAACAUUGAAGAUGUUGUGCUGCCAGAGAUCAACAAUGCACAAAAACAAGAUGGCGCAUCAAGUGAAAGAGGCCCUGGAAAUGAGAAUGUACUGGAUGAUUUCAACGAGGAGGAAAAUAGUUCAAAUUGGUCGAAUGAAGAGCACGGCGGACAGAUGGAUGAUGUGCAAGAAGAGCAUGAUCUUGGAAAUGGUGGUGAUGAUGAUGAUCUUGGGGAUGUUUUUGAUUGGUACUAGUUAAUCAUGGCUGGAAUUAGGACUCAUGAUACUACAAUUAUGAUUCUGCUAAUGUCUUGAGGUACAUUGGUGGCUGGUCAUGUUAUUUUGAUUAGAUCCUAGCGAGACUUUGUCAUGGGUUCUAGUCAUUAUCAUGUGUACAUGGGUUGCCUCAGAAGUAAAUGGAUGCAUAAAUGGGCUCUGUGCAAUCAUUAUACCCCCAAAGAGGAACACAAUGUGCACACACUGCCGUCUAGCGGCCUAGGGCUGUCUUGCAAUCCUUAAUUUUUAAGCAGUGCUAAUAGUCAGAUGGAAGGGGACCCAUUUUUACAGACGGAAAUCUGUGUAAUGGACAGCGUUCAAUUGGAUCAGCACAUUCUUGGUGAUUAUGUCAGUACCAUGGUUGGGACAUACGUAUGUGUUCUGGAUGCUAAGUUUUGCAAGCCGAUGGGAAGUGCGUGCAAGAGUAGUUGAUAUCAUCUGACGCUGUCAUGUUAGAUACGUCAUAUUUCUUUUUGUACUUACUUUUUUUUAUUACUUGCCACACAAAUGUACUAGUGCCCACACAAAUGUACUAGUGCUGAUGGAUGUGAUACGUCAUAUUUCUCUUUAGCAACUUCGAUUAUUUUUUUAAAGAGAUUUAUAGCAACUUCGGUUUCCUUCUCCAGUUGUAUACUGAUGAUGCUCUGUGACUUCGAUAUUGGUUUCUUUUGAUAGGCAGUAUCGGUUUCUGUAAAACCUUGUUAGGCAUCAACACAGUGACUUCCCUACCUUUACAUAACAGAACAAAUCUGUAAAUUGAGCUUUGGCA